rnacentral:lncRNA from 14 species
GUCAGAGUUUAAUUUAGGUUACUCUGGGCCAGGAGCCAAAUUAAAGUUCUUUGCACCAGUUUUGUAAGGAAACGCAUCUUAGCCUGGGCUACUGAUGGAAUACCGUGGCUCCUCCUCUUGGCUUUAUUAGCAUGGGGAAAUAACCAGCAUAUAAUCUUGUCCAUGCUUCACUGUGGCAGUAAGGACCUCAGGAAUUCUGGCAGUGCCAUUCUCAACCGUGGUGCUGUUUGCAUCCUCACCUCUAGCUGUCUCCAGGAUAAGCAUCAUGGAAGCACCAAACUUGCUGGAGAAUGGCAAUAUUCCACAGAAAAAGAAACUCUUACACUGUCAAGUGGCUUUUUAUACUUUAAUAUUUGUUUUGAUCAUUAUUUCAGCCCUGGCUUCUGUAGUCUUCUGUUCGAUCCAUCAUAAGCAGGCACUGGGAUCCUGCUGGGCACAUGGAUCUUUAAAAAAGCCUUCUACACCAAACUUGAAAGAUGUCAUGAGCUGGGAGUGGAACUUAGACCACUGUAAUGGAUUUGUGCAGAAGGAUGAUGAUGAGUACCUUGUAAUUGAGCAGAGUGGCAACUACUUCAUCUAUGCUCAGAUCAACCGCAAACAACAUAUGGAAGUGUCUUUUACACUGAUGAUGUACAAAGAGCCAGACAUCCUCCUCAACAAGGUUGUAGGACCAAAGGAGGGAGAUGAAAGGGGCACGGUAAAUUUUGGAAGACCCUUUUUUCUGCAGAAGGGAGAUAAACUGUACUGUCAGGGCAAUUUUAAUCUUAACUAUAUUCUGGAAGGGAAUCAGACUUAUUGGGGCUUGUACAAAAUAUAGCAGGACUCUGCUUUGCAUCAGCUUCUCCCUCAUUCCCUCCAGGAAACCUUAGGGCAUGGAUGAAGAAUCUGUAGUUUCUCUUCGUAUGAAAUUCAACUUACUCGGGUAUACACCAUUGUAAGCUGGUAUCAUGCAGAGUAAGGUGUAAAACAAAUUAAAAAGCAAAUCUUGGUAAUAAUGGAUAGCACUUGAUCAUCAUGAAGUAUGAGAGAAAGAUGCUUCUGGGAAGAAAAAGUUCUUGAUAUGCUAUGGGGGUGACUCCAAUCCUGGAAAAAAAUCACUAUAUUCACUCUCUUCUGAGCUGGGGAGGAACUCUGUCUGCAGUGGGAUGCAUCUCAGAGCUGGUACGUUUGUACUUUGGGUUCCUUCCAACAAACAGUGCUAUGUAAAAGCUAAGGUAUUCUAUACCCUUCCUGCACAACCUGUCCGUGAAGCAGUGUCUAGAGCACAGGGAUGAAAUAGUUCAGAAAUGGUCUGUGACCAGAAUGAAAGCUUCUCAGACCCAUCCACAGCCUUGCCACUAGCUUCCCUGUGGAAGCUCCAUAUUCAUGGGUAGUUCAGAGCAAAAGAAACUUUCCAGUCAAGCAGAAGCAGUACUGCACAUCUGUGAAUUCCUGUCAACUCCCUGCCAUGGUCCAGACAGGCACACCACAGUGAGCUUGUGCAUCCAGCCAGUGUCCCUGCUUUGCAUCCAGCUGUCAUAAAGGGUGCAUCACUGCUGACUGAGUAGCACAGAAAUGUGUGAAAGUUGCUGCUUGUAAGUAGAGAUUGCAGAGAAGAAAUAAUGACAGAAGAUGCAUGAGGACAGUGGGCACAGAGUAGAAAGCAGAGGAUAAAGGAUCUGAGGAUUUGAGAAUUGUUCUCAGCAUUUUUUACUUUGCUGUAUAGCAGAUGUUGCAAGCAGGUCAGGGCAGAGCAGACACAACUCUAACAUGAAAUGGGAAAGGCCUGAGCAUUCCUCCCUAAACACCUCCUCACCACAGACACAGCUUUGAUAUCCAGCACAAAGCAUGACCUGUGCCAGUACUGCAGCUGAGAGGUGGAAACAUGAGGUAGCAGGACAGCUAGGAAGUACUAAGACUGCUCACUGUGAGGCCUUGGCUACCUGCUGUAUUUCCCAGGAUGAGCACUGAAUCACCUGCAGAUCAUGGGAAGGUCGCAAGUUCUCAGCAAAUUGCUCUUAGAAAAGCAGGCUUUUGGGGCUGCAUCUAGCUUCCCCAUGGCAUGGCUCCUUCUGCUUUGCUUGGGCAGGCUUUCCCAGGGGCUCUGUGCUUUGCUCUCCUGCCACCCAGACCUUCAUGGGUGAAAACUUCUUUACCAUUUCUCAGAACAUGUCACAGCUUUGUGGAUGGAUUUUCAUGGGAAAGCAAAGCAACUGAGAAGCCAGCUGGAAAUAAACAAUGAUUUGGUGUGGGCUGGGGCA